UACGAAGGGGGGCUAGCGUUGUUCGGAAUUACUGGGCGUAAAGCGCACGUAGGCGGACAUUUAAGUCAGGGGUGAAAUCCCCAGAGCUCAACUCUGGAACUGCCUUUGAUACUGGGUGUCUUGAGUAUGGAAGAGGUGAGUGGAAUUCCGAGUGUAGAGGUGAAAUUCGUAGAUAUUCGGAGGAACACCAGUGGCGAAGGCGGCUCACUGGUCCAUUACUGACGCUGAGGUGCG
rnacentral:rRNA from 1 species